CAUGGGAAUCAUGUAUUCUUCGUGAGGCCUUACUCAAUGGAGCUGUAUUAAUUAUUGUCUUCUCUCUGUAGAGACCUGCAGGACCCGAGCAGAGCUACGAUGCUCUCCCAGGUAACGUUAGGUCACAUCUGGCCGCAGGCCGA